CAACUUCCCAUUGUAGAACUUUUGUUUUAAACCUCAAACCUAGAUUUAAAGGCACAGGGACACAGGUUGAGUGUUGUUGAGAGCCACAGUGUGAGAACUCUUUGGUCCAUGCAGAAAGUGCAUGUUCCCAGAAACAAUUUAGGAUUAGUCACAUCUAAUUCAGAUUCUGCAGCCCCCAAGGUAUUGUUGAACUGCAAUGCCCAGCAUCCUAACCAUUGGCUGCACUGGUUAAAACUUUUAGAAGCUGUACUUCCAUAUAUUUCUUGAGGGCCAUUAUGAUUCCUGUCCUUGGGAUAAGUACUUGACCAGAUUUGAGCAACUGCACGAAAUGUCAAAUUAGCCUCUUUCUCUGAUUUAGCAGCAAGUGAGACUCAGUACUUUUAUUAAAAAGGAAGAACCAAACAUAACCCAACUACAGCAAUUACACAAGCAGUGGAAAGAAGUACAAGAGCACACUGUUGGACAUCUAUGGGAAGGGCCCCUUGCACUUUGCAGAUUACUCAUAAGAUUUGACAAACUUGGAAUCACAGACUGGUUUUGCAUGCACUUGUCUGGAUUGGAUGUGGUCCAGUCCAGGUGUUGUAAGAAUCUCUUGAAGAAUGCAAGUGUUAAUGUUCACCCCUACAGGACCACAACAUCGUUAUUCAGAAAUUAUUGCAAAUUGCAUUAUAAAUUAUGUGCCCAGGUAGCAUGAGUAACACAAGCUAGAAAAAUCAAUAACAGGAGCAGCAGGAGCCGAAAACUCAGAUGUCGUUUCUCAUUCAGUUGCUCAUUUGACGUCUGUUUCUAUGGGGGUGAGAGAAGUUGCUGCAAAUUGUAAAAGAAAGUGAAACUGCAAAUUGCUCGUCAGGGAUGGCAAAAGAUUAUAGGCACUAUUGUGGGGAAUGUUUACACAACAGGGACAAUCUGUUUUUAUUUACAGAGGAUGAACAGACUUCUAAAUGAAAAGUAUUUGGCAGUGUGGUUCUUUAAAUACACAAGUACUAACAAGAGUAUCAGUGCCCUCCCCACCUGUACAAUUUUGCAUCAGUACAGAAUAACGCAUUUAGCAAACAUGAUUGAGGGUCAUUUCAGAAGGAACACAAAUAGUUUUCUAGAGCUUGAGUACUUUGCUUCCCUAUUCACUAAGUACUAUUUUUAGCAUGCUGUAAUGUUGCAAUAUAAGAUAAUUGGAAGGCAAAUUAGAAUUCCUGGAAUCAUUCCAGCUGAUGCAUUAAAAAAUUAAUUCAUCUUUGCUUUUGAGAAUUUUGCUAAUAAUCCUCCACUUUUCUCUAUCUUAUUAUUUUGGCAUUCAAUGAACUCUCAUCACAACAUGGCUAAAAAUCAGAAAAAGAUGAAGAUUCUAUCACAACCUUCAAACAACUGCACGAAAAAAGAACUGUGGGGAAUAAAAUUCUUAACAUUCAUAAAAACUUUAAAGACUUAAACAAACCUUCUUACUAAGAAGAAACAGCUGGUGAAUUUAUAUAAAGACUAUACAAAUUCUCUAAAAUAAGCGAGCUUUGAAAACUUUCCAUGGAGAUAAAAAUGUUGUUUUAAAACUUUUAGAUUCAAACACCAAGAAACCAUUUCAGUUCAUAAAGUCAGAGUGAGAAUUUAAUUUGUUUUAGAAUUUAUCUGAAAUUCAAAGGUUAAAAUGAUGACAAAAACAAAAUUACCAGAUUUGCCACCUUCUGUGAAGAAUUAGAAUUUCAUUUGUUUUUUUGUUCAGCGAAAUUGCUAAAAUUAGCAAAAAUUUAGAAGUAAAAAAAAUUUGUCCAUCUCUAACAUUAGUACAAAUUGAAUAUAAUUAUUUAUUUCAUCCAACC